UUCAAGAGGGUGGUGAAGGCCAAGUCGACGGAGCGGUUCGAUGGGCUCCCCUACCUGCUCUCCCUGCUCAACUGCUGCAUCUGCCUCUGGUACGGCCUCCCCUGGGUCUCCGACGGCGGCAGGACCCUCGUGGCCACCGUCAACGGCACCGGCGCGCUGUUCCAGCUCGCGUACAUUUCGCUCUUCAUCUUCUACGCCGACAGCAGGAGCACACGGGUAAUUCUUUCCUUGCCGACUUGCCGUCCUCAACUACACCAGCUUCAGUUCGGAAAAGAGACCCGAAGAAUUGUGCUGGUUCUUUGCCGUGUCUGACUGACCGACACGAGUAAGAUGGACCGCACAAUUUUGUCUGUGGAAGCUGUUUUCUUUCUUCCAUUUCUGCAAUAGACGAUGUUUGCGUGGAUAAUGAGACCUGUUCUUCGUCCUCUCCACAGUUAAAGAUCACGGGGAUCCUGCUGCUCGAAGUCUUCGUGUUCGCGUUCGUUGCGCAUGCGAGCAUCGCCUUCUUGGACCAGCCGGCCCGGCAGCUGUUCAUCGGCGGCGUGAGCAUGGCGUCUCUGAUCUCCAUGUUUGCCUCCCCACUGGCC
rnacentral:lncRNA from 1 species